rnacentral:sRNA from 2 species
AGGUGAAGUCAGCCUAAUCCAGGAAACCUGUUUUAAGCAAUUGGGUGUGAGGUAAAACCUGGAGCGGAGGAACCAAUGUUUUGGGGCGUAUCUCUUGUCCUUACGAGGAUAUCCAGAGAAGGGCAUCUCUCAGCCCUAGCCCGUCAGCUAACUCCGUCGGCAUUGGGAGGAGACUGA